rnacentral:rRNA from 1 species
AGUGAACGCUGGCGGCAGGCCUAACACAUGCAAGUCGAGCGGCAGCGCGGGGGCAACCCUGGCGGCGAGCGGCGGACGGGUGAGGAAUGCGUCGGAAUCUGCCUCUUUGUGGGGGAUAACGUAGGGAAACUUACGCUAAUACCGCAUACGACCUACGGGUGAAAGUGGGGGACCUUCGGGCCUCACGCAGAGAGAUGAGCCGACGCCGGAUUAGCUAGUUGGCGGGGUAAAGGACCACCAAGGCGACGAUCCGUAGCUGGUCUGAGAGGAUGAUCAGCCACACUGGAACUGAGACACGGUCCAGACUCCUACGGGAGGCAGCAGUGGGGAAUAUUGGACAAUGGGCGCAAGCCUGAUCCAGCCAUGCCGCGUGUGUGAAGAAGGCCUUCGGGUUGUAAAGCACUUUUGUCCGGAAAGAAAAGCUUCCGAUUAAUACUCGGGAGUCAUGACGGUACCGGAAGAAUAAGCACCGGCUAACUUCGUGCCAGCCGCCGCGGUAACAC